rnacentral:rRNA from 1 species
UACGUAGGGGGCUAGCGUUGUCCGGAAUCAUUGGGCGUAAAGCGCACGUAGGCGGUCUGUUAUGUCGGACGUGAAAUCCCUCGGCUUAACCGGGGAACUGCGUCUGAUACUGGAUGGCUUGAGGUUGGGAGAGGGAUGCGGAAUUCCAGGUGUAGCGGUGAAAUGCGUAGAUAUCUGGAGGAACACCGGUGGCGAAGGCGGCAUCCUGGACCAAUUCUGACGCUGAGGAGCGAAAGCCAGGGGAGCAAACGGGG